GUGCAGAAUCACGAGUGCUCUCUUCUCCACUGGAAGGAACCAACAAGCUCCCCUGACCCAAGCGCCGGCGGUUCCGCCCCGCCGCUGCCCCCCCCCUCCGCCGCCGCGCUCUCCCGACCGACCCGCACAAGCUCCAUCCGUCGCCGGCCGUUGUCCCGUUCAACCUCGCUGCGAUCCCGGACGACAUCGGCGUUAUUCGAGGAUUUUUUGGUUGAUUUGAGAUGGAAAGGGCUGCCAAUUUCAUACCUGGCCCUAAUCAGGAGCUCCUGGAUAUCAAGCCAUUGAGGUCUUUAGCUCCAAUGUUCCCUGCACCCAUGGGAGUCAACGUUAACCAGUCAAGCACCCCACCGUUGGUCUGUGUGACUCCGGUUGGCCAGUUUCCUACAGGGUUUGGUGCUGGGAACCUUCCUGCUUUUGGAUCAUUCACCACCUUCAAUUCUACUGCGAAUGGGUUUUCGCAUGCAGGCACCAGUACUCAUGGUCCCAUUGAUGCUACCCCUAUCUCAGCAUACAAGACAAGAUCAUCUGUGGAUGGUGAUCAGACUUCGGCAUCUGAGCGCAAGGCUAAGAGGUCAGCUGGUUUGGCUGCUGACGGCUCAAAUGGAGUUAAAGUCAAGCGCCCUAAGCCCAUCUACAAGAAUCUAGUUGCUGGCAAGGAGCUUGCGUUUUUGCCAGAAUCAUCUGGGAAUCCUAGGGGGAUUGUGGAAGCAGUUCACAUGACCUUCGAGGCACUCAGACGGAGACAUCUGCAGAUGGAUGAAACACAAGAGGCUAGCAGACGUGCAGACCUAAAAGCUGGCGCCAUCAUGAUGGCCAGUAAUAUCAGGGCCAAUAUGGGAAAGAGGGUAGGAACUGCUCCUGGAGUUGAAAUAGGGGAUAUCUUCUAUUUCAGGAUGGAGCUAUGCAUCAUUGGGUUGCAUGCUCCUAGCAUGGGUGGCAUCGAUUACAUGAGUGCUAAAUUUGGAAAUGAUGAGGAUUCUGUAGCAAUAUGUAUUGUCGCUGCAGGUGGUUAUGAGAAUGAGGAUGAUGACCCAGAUACACUGGUGUACAGUGGUUCGGGAGGUAAUAGUAGGAAUACUGAGGAGAGGCAUGACCAGAAGCUUGAGAGGGGCAACCUCGCUCUCGAGAGGAGUUUGCACAGGAAGAAUGAGAUCAGGGUUGUACGGGGCUUCAAAGAUCCGGCUUGCGCGACUGGGAAAAUCUAUAUAUAUGAUGGCCUCUAUAAGAUCCAAGAAUCCUGGAAGGAGAGAACGAAAACUGGCAUCAAUUGCUUCAAGUACAGGUUGCAGCGCGAACCUGGACAGCCUGAUGGAGCUGCAAUAUGGAAGAUGACUCAGGGAUGGAUGCAAGAUGCAGCAGCAAGAGGCAGGGUCAUACUGCAUGACCUAUCAUCUGGGGCUGAACCAAUCCCAGUUUGUCUCGUCAAUGAGGUAGAUCAUGAGAAAGGACCUGGGCAUUUCACCUAUGCUAAUCAAGUCAAAUACUUGAGACCCCGUAGUUCUAUGAAACCCUUGCAGGGCUGCAGUUGCCAGAGUGUUUGCCUGCCUGGUGAUGCUGAUUGUGCUUGUGGAAACCAUAAUGGAGGUGAUUUACCGUACAGCUCAUUGGGACUGUUGGUUUGCCGCAAACCAGUAAUAUAUGAAUGCGGCGAAACUUGCCAUUGCUCCCUUAAUUGUCGUAAUAGAGUGACCCAAAAAGGGAUCAAGUUCCACUUUGAGGUCUUCAGGACCACAAAUCGAGGCUGGGGUCUUCGCUGCUGGGAGCCUAUCCGUGCUGGUGCAUUUAUUUGUGAGUAUGUUGGUGAGGUCAUUGACGAGCUGCAAGUUAAUUUGAACGAUAGUGAAGAUGAUUACAUUUUUCAGACUGUGUGUCCUGGUGAGAAGACGCUAAAAUGGAAUUUUGGGCCUGAAUUGAUAGGUGAGCAAAGCACAUAUGUGUCAGCUGAUGAAUUUGUGCCAUUGCCCAUCAAGAUAAGUGCAAAAAGCAUGGGAAAUAUCUCACGUUUCAUGAACCACGGCUGCUCCCCAAAUGUCUUCUGGCAACCAGUGCAGUAUGACCAUGGAGAUGAGAAGCACCCACAUAUCAUGUUCUUUGCACUUAAUCACAUCCCUCCCAUGACAGAAUUAACCUAUGACUAUGGUGUGGCUGCAGCCGAUCCCAGUCAUAGAACUAAGAACUGCCUGUGUGGAUCAUCAACCUGUCGUGGAGUGUUUUGACUCACUCGGUGGCAUGUACAUUGUGGUGGAUCAACAUGCAAGGUAAUAUGUUAGAUGUUUCUGCUGCUACCUUAUCUAUGUUUGAUAACUGCUGUUACCUGCUGCUGCAUGAACUGCGGAAGUCGGUUAAUCAUCGUCUGUUUGAACAACAAAGACAGUAAAAAUUACCAGAAUGCCCCGUUGCGUCAAUGAAAUACCUGCUUUUCGUUAUGUGGCGGCUUUGUGGCCCCAUCUGUGAAUGCGACUGUUUCUAGCCUUAGCUUUGUCAGAAGUCGUUAACUGGACCUCUGGCUGUGUUAGCUGCGACUUGUAUGACACCGUUAUCUGUCCUGUAAGAACAUGUUGCUUAGUCCGGUCUUUGCAUCUGCUCUGGAUAUUUACCUGUUUGUGUUGUUGUUUGGGACCUCCGUCUGUUCAGACAAAUGUUUGUGCCAUCCCUUAUUGCUCUUCUAAUCAUGACAUGCCUUGUAUUAUCUUA